GGCGGGCCCGGGCCUGGGGCCAUGGCGGCAUGCUGGCUCCCUGCCCUCCGCAGCCCUCGGGCCGCCACGGGCUGGUGCUCCCUUCCAUGGGGCAGCGACCACUGGGAAUAAAGAACAAAGCCCUCUGCCUCCGGCGUCGGUAUUGCUUGUGCGCCUCCAACCUGUGCCUAGAGUCUGUUCCAGCGCUUGGGUCGGUGUUGGAAAACAACGAGCUGAGGCAGGCUGGACUCCAGAAUCACCUAGAUGACAUUACUACACUUGGAAGAUUUGCUGGAGGUCAUGAGGGGCAUAUGCAAGCAUCAGUUAGACUAGGCUGAAAGAAAAUGUCCAAAUGUCUCUACAAAGGAACAGGCACACCUUCUUUGAAGGUUGUACAGCAGAAACUAAUUUAAAAGAAACCUUGAUAAUAAAGCAGUCAGAGGAGAAUUGGCA
rnacentral:lncRNA from 1 species